AUUGAACGCUGGCGGCAGGCCUAACACAUGCAAGUCGAACGGUAACAGGAAGACGCUUGCUUCUUUGCUGACGAGUGGCGGACGGGUGAGUAAUGUCUGGGAAACUGCCUGAUGGAGGGGGAUAACUACUGGAAACGGUAGCUAAUACCGCAUAACGUCGCAAGACCAAAGAGGGGGUCCUUCGGGCCUCUUGCCAUCGGAUGUGCCCAGAUGGGAUUAGCUAGUAGGUGGGGUAACGGCUCACCUAGGCGACGAUCCCUAGCUGGUCUGAGAGGAUGACCAGCCACACUGGAACUGAGACACGGUCCAGACUCCUACGGGAGGCAGCAGUGGGGAAUAUUGCACAAUGGGCGCAAGCCUGAUGCAGCCAUGCCGCGUGUAUGAAGAAGGCCUUCGGGUUGUAAAGUACUUUCAGCGGGGAGGAAGGGAGUAAAGUUAAUACCUUUGCUCAUUGACGUUACCCGCAGAAGAAGCACCGGCUAACUCCGUG
rnacentral:rRNA from 1 species